ACGGUAACAUUUUUGUGCGAAAAAAUUAUUUUUGCCCGCCAACACUCAGAAAAAUAACUCAUUAUUCCCUCUCUUCUCUAACAAAGAUUUUUUUUUAUUCACUUCAAUCUAUCUUAUCUUCGUUUAAACAAAAAAAAAAUCUAUCCAUCUUCUUCUCCAUCUUCUUCAAACUUAAUCCACUGGAUCUAGUGAGAUUUAUCAAUAGAACCUAAACAAUCCAUCGUUUUGUGAUGGAGACAAUUCCAGUUUCCGCUGAGAGCUUCAAGGUAGGGCUCAUCGGAGCUGGAAAGAUGGCGGAGAUUAUAGAUAGAGGUGUGUGGCUGCCUCCGGGAUGCUUCCUCCGAAUCGUAUCUCUACCGCCGUUCACUCGAUUCUGAAUCGCCAUACCGGAAACCAACCUAUCCGCCUCUCUCAUUCCAUUACGGCAAAUUGGCUCUUCCGCCUUCCUCCGUCGCUCUUCACCACCAUCACCUUUGCCUUCUCUCGCUUCUUCUUUUUCUUCUAGAGGUCGCCGAUGUCUGAGUCUUACACUUAGUUUGAAGAAAUAAGGUUGAAGAGGAUGGUUGUUACUGACGAAUACUUAGAUCUCAACUAAAGUUAAUGAAUUUCAUAAAGCUUCAAACUUUGAACAGAUAUACAAAGUGGCUUCUGUGAAGCUUUGUGAUAGAUAUCAAAUAUUUUUACACGAACUUGGCAUGUGCAGAGGAGAGUUUCAUUGAGUUCUGGAUAUCAUCACUUUGCUCCAACAUCUCUGGUCAGAUUCUGGCCAGUCUCGUCAUGAACCCACCCAAGCCUGGUGAUGAGUUAUGCGAGUGGUGAUGAGUCCUGCUACAUAGCAGAGAAAGACGGAAUACUCUCGUCCUUAGCAAAACGUUCAAAGGAAGGUGGGUCGUGAGCAGAGUUUGUUGUCGUGAGCUUGAAGGCGGCAGUGACAAGGCAGAGCAGCGUCGAAGGCGGCGGCAGUAAAUCCUCUGAUCUGAGGACGAGGACUAUGUUUUUGUCCUUUCCCGAUCUGCAAAUGUAAAGCUCGUACUUGUUCUUAACUUUGUAGAGCUGUGAUUUGGUGGAGAUAGUGUUUACGAAUCAUUAGAUUAGUGAAUGGAAGGCCAGAACAUCAGGAAGCUUGUGAAGGAUGGUUUAUGCUUGAACAUCAGCAACGAUGCCUGAGGAAAAGAUUGUGGAUACCAAGAAGAGCCACAACUCUUGAAGGGACCAAGCAACCAUUUUCUCAUUUUUCUCGAUUGUCUAUGAUGUUAGUUUAGUGUUUGGAUGAUCUUAUGUAAAACUUGUUCUUUUUAUAUGCAAUAUUAUUGUGGCAAUGACCUGUCAACAAACUACUUACAAUUCAAAUAACAAAACGUAACUAUA